AAGAGGGGGACCCUCGGGCCUCUUGCCAUCGGAUGUGCCCAGAUGGGAUUAGCUUGUUGGUGGGGUAACGGCUCACCAAGGCGACGAUCCCUAGCUGGUCUGAGAGGAUGACCAGCCACACUGGAACUGAGACACGGUCCAGACUCCUACGGGAGGCAGCAGUGGGGAAUAUUGCACAAUGGGCGCAAGCCUGAUGCAGCCAUGCCGCGUGUAUGAAGAAGGCCUUCGGGUUGUAAAGUACUUUCAGCGGGGAGGAAGGGAGUAAAGUUAAUACCUUUGCUCAUUGACGUUACCCGCAGAAGAAGCACCGGCUAACUCCGUGCCAGCAGCCGCGGUAAUACGGAGGGUGCAAGCGUUAAUCGGAAUUACUGGGCGUAAAGCGCACGCAGGCGGUUUGUUAAGUCAGAUGUGAAAUCCCCGGGCUCAACCUGGGAACUGCAUCUGAUACUGGCAAGCUUGAGUCUCGUAGAGGGGGGUAGAAUUCCAGGUGUAGCGGUGAAAUGCGU
rnacentral:rRNA from 1 species